GCCCGGAGAAAACCCACGCGGACACGGGGAGAACAUGCAAACUCCACACAGGGAGGGCCGGAGGUGGAAUUGAACCCGCACCCUCCUAACUGUGAGGCGGACGUGCUACCCAGUGCGCCACCGAGCCGCCCAUUACACAACUACUUAAAGCUAAAUAAUUACAGUGUCAUAGUUAACGAUUAUGAGAAGAAACAAACAUAAGACACAGGGUGUAAGCUCCACUCAGAGGAAAUCACGUAAGAUAAUCAAUGUUUCGAACUGUUAUUUUAUUCUCUUGCAAUUUACUUAAUAAUUGAUUAAACAAGUUUAUUAAACUGCAA